rnacentral:rRNA from 1 species
GACGGAGGAUGCAAGUGUUAUCCGGAAUCACUGGGCGUAAAGCGUCUGUAGGUGGUUUAAAAAGUCCACUGUUAAAAAUUGAAGCUUAACUUCAAAGAUGCCGUGGAAACUUUUAAACUUGAGUAUGAUAGGGGUAGAGGGAAUUUCCAGUGGAGCGGUGAAAUGCGUAGAUAUUGGAAAGACCACCAAUGGCGAAGGCACUCUACUGGGCCAUUACUGACGCUGAGAGACGAAAGCUAGGGGAGCGAAUGGG